UGGCCUUUCGGACGUGCGGGGGGCACAGCCGGGGCCUGGAAGGGCUGUGUCACCUCCGGAGCACGUCAGGCCCACAAUGCCGGGAGAAGGAGCAAGAGGCAAGUGUCAUUUUCAGUGUGACGGGGGCCAACGUUUUCACUUCGGAGGAAAUAAGUUCUUGGAUUUAUCCCGAAACGUCAACAGGAAAAUAAGUCUCCACAUACAAAAUUGCAGUCACUUGCAGCUUCUCCGUUAUAUAUUUGGUACCUAACGUGAGGCGCCUUAUGUUUCAGCAGAUAAUUUCCUGGGGUGUAUUAGGGUAGUUGAGUUCUUUUGAAUUUUGCCUGUAUCUAAAAAUAACAAUGGAACUUGAGAAAAGGCCACAUAAACCGAUACACCGGAAUGAAUCCCUGUCCCCCGAAUCACGGGUCGCGUUGCCUCUGCAGCACUUCCGCGGGGUCUGGGUUAGGACGACUGACCGAGAGCUGGCCCUCAGGAGCGCCAGGGUACCCCGAUGCAGUCCCUCACCCGGCAGGUAGGGCUGCGGGCCUGCGGGCCUCCACCGCAGCCCCGUCAGCGGUGGGAGGCCGCCGGCGUGAUCCUGACUCUGCCUGGGGAAGCGCGGACGGGAGAAACCAGCCCCACGCAGACCAGGCCGAGUCCUCAGCCCUGCUGCUCCUGUUCCCCACAGACCAAAUCAGGGUCGCCAUCGACAGCGUGGAUCAGUUUCCCGGGGCUGCAGGGCGAGAGCACCGCAAACGUGGCCGAAACAACAGAAACAUAGUCUCUCAGUCCUGGAGGCACGAAGCCCGGAAUCAAGGUGUGAACAGGGCCGCGCUCCCUCUGAAGGCUCUGGGGGCGGGGCGGGGGCAUCUUUCCUCUCCUCUUCCAGCUUCUGGAGGCCCCUGGAUGCCUCAGAGAUCCAUCACUCCUAUCUCUGCCUCUGCGGUCACGUGGCUUCUCCUGGGUGUCUGCGUCCACCUUUCUGUCUCCUUACAAGGACACCUGUCAUUGGAUGAGGACCCACGCUGCUCCAUUGUGACCUGGUUCCAACCCAAUUACAUCAGCCCACACCUAAGAAGGUCACACCCACAGCUCCUGAUUAAUUGUUACCAAGUGUCAUCCGUAAAUUUCCCUUCCAUCUAAUAAUCCUCUCGGACGAUCUAACAACAUCCCCGGCGAGCUGGCGAUACCGAGGCUGAGUUUCUGAGACAAGGAGCGGGUGACACCGGUACCUCCAGUGACUGGCGACGGGCGGUGGACAGCGUUCACGGAGCUGCCAUCUCUGAAAUACAAUUAUCAGUGUGAUCUGCUUAAGGAUUCAUCAUCAGCUCCUGCCUUCUGAAGACUUAAAAAAAUGCCAAGACACACAGAGAGAAAGAGGUGAUAAGAAGGCAUCAUUUCCCUCCAGCCUCAUAACUGUAAAUUGAAGAAAAUUAUUUUCUUUGCCUGCAGCUCAUUGGCAUAUAGGCAGCAUUAUAUUAUAAUUUCAUAAGCAUAAAUCCUUUGAAUAAAUUUCAGAGGAAUAACUGAAUUAGAAAUGCAAGUAAAGUAUCUAAAAAACUUAACCGUAGCAGGCAGGGGAGAGGCGGUGUGAGGGGCACAGGCAAGGAGGAGAGCCCCUUCUGGGUGCCUCCCGUGGGUCCCCAGAGGCCCGGGAAGAGCUUGGUCAGGGAGAGGCCGUUUCUCACCCCUUCUGUGCCUGAUGGCGAAUAAAAGUUCUUCUCCCCUCCCCUUGCUCGUGUUCCAAGGAAUUUGAGCCGUAAUUCAUCAUAAAUUAAUUUUGGAGAAACAACAGGCUUGGGGCGUGUUAUAAUUAUUGUUAUUUGUUUAUUUAUUAUCGUGUUAACCAUUAUUUAUUAUUGUGUUAAGCAUAUGUGAGAUCACAAAGGUUGCUCCUGCGGUUUCCUAGCAACAAGUCUGUGGGUCCGUCACGCAAGUUUCCCAUCUCGGUGGGGGUGGGAGGCAGAUGCCGGGUCAGGGGCCCGAGGCGUCUGUCCCUUCCUGAGGGCACCCCUUGGGAUACACUGUGGAGGACAAGGGUCGGUCUGGCCCCCUGCUGAUGGCUCACCAGCCGCCCCGCAGAUUAUCUUCAAACAAAGACCACUUGGAGGCCAAACCCUGGCCCCGGGGGCUGGCUCAGCUUGGACAAGGACGUCCUUUCCUAGGCCCGUGUUGGUCCUCAGGGAGGUGGCCACCAGGCCCCCUCCAUGGCCAAGGGACAUCUGGGGGGGAGGAGGCUAAGGGUUGGGAAGAGGAUGGAAAACUUCCUGGGGGCCUCCGCGCCCCCCUGUCGCAGCCUGGGGCAGCCCCGUGCAGCUCCCCACCUCCCCAGGGUGACCGACUGGCUUCGGGAGCCCGUCACCAUGUACGUAGUGGGAACAGAGGCACAGAACCCGGAGGUUCAACUGCGUUCACACAGCCUCUCAGGAGCACGAAUAUCCAUUUGCAAUGUCUGUUCUUGUGUCAGCACAGAAGUGCAGAGAGGGGUUGGUUUCCAUGUUUCCAGCACAGGGACCCUGCCGGGUAAAGGAAACCUUACCUGGGGGCCCACAGAGUGCGAUGGCCAAACCAGAGUGACGGGACGGGUCUCCUUUGUCCGGUGUCCUCAGACAGACCCCACGCCUCCCGUAUGGAUCACUUCCUAUCCUGGGUAAGAAACGCAUAGCAAAGGGGCCCGGUGAUGUCAGUACUUUCCCAUUAUGGCGGAGCCACGCACACAGGGUCCCAAGCAGCGCCCCGCCCCCCCAACUGUCCAGUGAAAUCCCCUGGGAGUGGCAUUUUUUUUUCCCAGUCAACUUUUAAUUAUAGAAUAAUUGGACUUACAGAAAAAUUACAAAGACAAUAUAGUGCCCCCACAUGCCACACACCCAGUUUCCCGGUUAGUAGCCUUGUCUAUUACGAUGGAUUGCGUCCAGGACAGCACAUUACUUCAGUUAUCAGGUCUCCUUAGGCUCCUCUUGGCUGAGCCUCUCAGGUUUCGCUGAGAUUAAUGACCUUGCUGGUUUCGCGGAAGGUGAGGACACGGUGAGAGGUCAGCAGUCUGCAAACCAGAAGAGGGCCCUCGCUGGACCACGCGGGCACCCUGAUCUUGGAUUUCCAGGCUCCAGGGCUGUGAGGACUCCUUGCUUGCUGUUUACAAGCCAUCAAGCUGAUGGUACUUUGUGAGAGCAGAGAAUGGGCUAAGACAGACUGCAUUUAUGGGUCUAGGAGAGGAAGGUCCCAGAAAUCCCAUGGAGGGUGCCUGCCGUCAGGGCACUUGUUAUCGUUGAUGUCAAACGUGAUCACAUGGCCAAGGCAGUGCCUGUCAGGGUCCCCCCCGUGGAAGGUUGCCCUUUCCCCCUGUCCAUAUGCUGUACUUGGGGGCAGGAAGGCCCUGUGAGCAGCCCAGCAUGCUCCAGGAGCAGAGAACUCUGUUCCACCUCCUCCGGCGUGGAGGUUCCACACAAAUCAUUUGAAAUUCUGCAGAGCAGAUUCUCCUCCGUCUUCAUUUCUUUAGUCAACCACUUAUUUAUGGCAGGAUGGACUCGGUGUAGACUUCGAGUUAUAUUCCGACACUGCCUCGUUCAUGUAUUUGCUCAAACGUGUCAGCCAACGGAGGUCCCUUCCAUUGCUCCCGUGUCCUCCUGACAUGUCCCCAUCAUGGUGGCACUAUGGGUCUGGUUUUGUGUUUUAGCACCUCCUUACUUUCUGGCACCACAAGAUGCGCCCAUCUCGCAUUCCGACCCUUUCUCCACAGACCCCUGGUUCUUUUUAUCGGAGAAGGGUAUUAGCAACCACACUCUGGAUGCGGGGUGUGCUCACCGCUAUAGGGCUGGGGAGCUUUCAAACCUCUGUGCAUUUAGGAUGCAACCAAGAUCAGUUGCCAGCAUCUCCUGGAGGAGGACCCAGGCCUCAGUGUUUUUAAAGUUUUGUCUGUCUGUCAAGCUGUUUCUACUUUUAUAUUUGGUCAAUAGCUGGUGGCCUCCUAGUCUUGGGAUUAGCACCUUUACAUCAAGCGUAUGGAUACAGGGUGCCCCUCCGUGCUCCAGAAACAGUGUGGAACUUUACCAAGAUGCAGGGGGCUAAAUGUUUGAAAGAACUUUUGAGGGGCUGAUUCUUUUCGUUGUUUGGUGUGGGGGGGGAGUGGGGAGUGCCCACUUCUCCCUUUUGUCUGCCUCUCUCUUACCUUUAUUUUUCUUUCCUCCUUAAUCCCUUGAGAAGUACCUGCCCAGUGCUCAGACCAUUAGCGUCCCAGAGGCUAGGACUGGCAAUCAGUUUCCAUCUAUCCCUUCUAGCCGGUGACCACAAGCGAGGGGCUUCGUUUCCCCUCCACCUGUGGCUGGGGACACACUGAGACCACUGCCCGUUGAGUCAGAAGUAGGUGGCCGAGCUUAGAAGUAGGUGAAUCAGCAUGUGGCACAUAGUGGGCACCGAUAAAGCUAGCUCCCCCUUCCUCUCCCCACCUCCAGCCCCAGGGAAAUAAGACAGGCCUGACACUGGGGCUGGAGGCCAGCUUGUCACCCUCUCUGAACCAGAGCUCGGCACCACACCUGGGGGCUUCCCUGCAAAGCAGAAUCCAGGCGGGUCUACACGGGCAUAGCGGCAGGACAAACCCUCGGAGUCAGAGCACCCACGCCUGGAGAUGCUCGUGCAGUGUGGGCGCUGUUUGCACCCCCUGCCCUGUGGAGCUCUUCUGUGGUCGGAGACUGCCCCCUCCUGCUCACUCAGACGCCCAGGGACCGCUCCCACGGGAGCCUGCCCUGUGCCACCCACUGACCAGUGACGAUUGUUCGAAUCAAAGGAAUCAAAUCGAUCACGAGCCAAUCUUACUUGGAAGUCCUUUGGAGGAACAGGAGUCCUUUACCUCAGAAGCCUGUUUUGUUGGCCAAGGCUACUUGGGAGGCCAGCUGUGACGGCCACUCUUGGCAGUCCUGACCGCACAGUGGGAUCCCCCGAGAGGACUUUGGGGUGGUCCGCAGAACCCAGGGCCCAGCCCCACAGCUGAGCCUCGACCUCUAACAGCUCCCUGGGGCACACCGUGCGGUGAUGUGGCUCUAUGGGUCUCUCGUCCAAGUCUCACAGUCUCGGCGACAGAGCCUUCUGGUGCGCCGUGAGGUGUCUCUACCUGUGGGUAAAUCAGCCACAGCUGGAGGGGCAGGGGAACGGGACACGCGGGCCACCAGGGGAAUUGUUAUCAGCUGAGCAGCCCCCAUAGGGGUCCAAGUAGUUAAUCAGCAGUUUCUCUCCUUAAAACCGAACUAACAAUAAACUCUUACCAGCAACCACGGCUUCUCAGGAGCAAGCGUCUCGUGCUGGGUCCUUCAGACAUCAUCCGUUCAAGCUCUCUGAACAACCAUACCGCGUAGACGUGAAACCCACAGAGAGGAGAAAACAGGCCGAGGGAGGUCAGGUGUCACCGUCCAGGUGGCCCGGCCGACACGCUUCGGAAGGGGGACCUGAGACUCCGGAGGGCGUUGUCUUCUUGAGAGUGUGACGCUGGCACAAGCAUCCCAUACACGAGCCUCCAGACCCGGGACGCCGACAGGGAGACACGGGAGCCGUUCUUGCCCGGAGCUGCCAAAGCAAGUGUAAAUGCCCGGGUUCCACCUGCCGGGACACCCACCACUGAGCACCGAUUCCCUCCGCCAACCUCAGCUCUUCCCAAACCGGAGCCCUCGCGGUCUCCCACACAUGCUGACCCCUCCCUUCUCCCACCUGUUGGGCCCUUCAGGACUCAGUAGAAAUGUCUCUUCCUGGGAAGCCUUCCUGAGUUUUGCUCCCUACACAUCACACUCGGAUG